rnacentral:rRNA from 1 species
AAGGGGGCAACCCUGAGUAGAGUGGCGAACGGGUGAGUAACGCGUGGGUGAUCUACCUUUGAGUGGGGGAUAACGUUCCGAAAGGGACGCUAAUACCGCAUGACGUUCCGGGUUUAAAGGCCUGGAAACCAAAGCCGGGGACCGCAAGGCCUGGCGCUUAUAGAGGAGCCCGCGUCCGAUUAGCUAGUUGGCGGGGUAAUGGCCCACCAAGGCGACGAUCGGUAGCCGGCCUGAGAGGGCGGACGGCCACACUGGAACUGAGACACGGUCCAGACUCCUACGGGAGGCAGCAGUGGGGAAUUGUUCACAAUGGGCGCAAGCCUGAUGACGCAACGCCGCGUGGGGGAUGAAGGUCUUCGGA